UACGUAGGCAGCGAGCGUUGUUCGGAGUUACUGGGCGUAAAGAGUGCGUAGGCGGUUUUCUAAGUUUGGUGUGAAAUCUCCCGGCUUAACUGGGAGGGUGCGCCGAAGACUGGAAGGCUUGAGUAUGGGAGAGGUAAGCGGAAUUCCUGGUGUAGCGGUGAAAUGCGUAGAUAUCAGGAGGAACACCCGUGGCGAAGGCGGCCUUCUGGGGCAUUCCUGACACUGAGAAGCGAAAGCUAGGGGAGCAAACGGG
rnacentral:rRNA from 1 species